rnacentral:lncRNA from 1 species
UCUUGCCUGUGAAUGAAUCAUCAUCAAUAUUUUGAGCAGUAAUUAAGCAAGCCUUAAUUCUGAAGCAACGGUUUCCAAGAUAGUGCCAAGCAGCAAGCACAAGAAAAAACAAAAAAGUCAUCGUACAUUUAAAUUUUUAUGUUCUAUUACAUGGCUUAAUUACUCAUCCUAUUGAUGAUACUAGUAGAGUCAGAUUUUAAGAUGGAUUUUACUCAAAAAAAAAAAAAAA